rnacentral:rRNA from 1 species
GACAGCGGGGAUAACACGUUGAAACGUCGAAUGCACCCAGUUCCCCAUGGAUCACUGAAGUUAAGCAACGUUGCGCGUGGUUGGUAUGGGUGAUCAUCUGGAUAAUCGCGUCCUGUUGGCU